GACGAACGCUGGCGGCGUGCCUAAUACAUGCAAGUCGAACGCUGAAGGAGGAGCUUGCUUCUCCGGAUGAGUUGCGAACGGGUGAGUAACGCGUAGGUAACCUGCCUGGUAGCGGGGGAUAACUAUUGGAAACGAUAGCUAAUACCGCAUAACAGUAGAUAUUGCAUGAUAUCUGCUUGAAAGGUGCAAUUGCAUCACUACCAGAUGGACCUGCGUUGUAUUAGCUAGUUGGUGAGGUAACGGCUCACCAAGGCGACGAUACAUAGCCGACCUGAGAGGGGGAUCGGCCACACUGGGACUGAGACACGGCCCAGACUCCUACGGGAGGCAGCAGUAGGGAAUCUUCGGCAAUGGACGGAAGUCUGACCGAGCAACGCCGCGUGAGUGAAGAAGGUUUUCGGAUCGUAAAGCUCUGUUGUAAGAGAAGAACGAGUGUGAGAGUGGAAAGUUCACACUGUGACGGUAGCUUACCAGAAAGGGACGGCUAACUACGUG
rnacentral:rRNA from 1 species